rnacentral:rRNA from 1 species
UACAGAGGUGGCAAGCGUUGUUCGGAAUUACUGGGCGUAAAGGGCGCGUAGGCGGUCUUGCAAGUCCUGUGUGAAAUCCCUCGGCUCAACUGAGGAACUGCACAGGAAACUGCUUAGCUUGAGUUCGGGAGAGGGAAGCGGAAUUCCGGGUGUAGCGGUGAAAUGCGUAGAUAUCCGGAGGAACACCGGUGGCGAAGGCGGCUUCCUGGACCGACACUGACGCUGAGGCGCGAAAGCUAGGGGAGCAAACGGG